rnacentral:rRNA from 1 species
UAGGGAAUCUUCCACAAUGGACGCAAGUCUGAUGGAGCAACGCCGCGUGAGUGAAGAAGGUUUUCGGACCGUAAAGCUCUGUUGUUGGUGAAGAAGGAUAGAGGUAGUAACUGGCCUUUAUUUGACGGUAAUCAACCAGAAAGUCACGGCUAACUACGUGCCAGCAGCCGCGGUAAUACGUAGGUGGCAAGCGUUGUCCGGAUUUAUUGGGCGUAAAGCGAGCGCAGGCGGAAGAAUAAGUCUGAUGUGAAAGCCCUCGGCUUAACCGAGGAAUUGCAUCGGAAACUGUUUUCUUGAGUGCAGAAGAGGAGAGUAGAACUCCAUGUGUAGCGGUGGAAUGCGUAGAUAUAUGGAAGAAUACCAGUGGCGAAGGCGGCUCUCUGGUCUGCAACUGACGCUGAGGCUCGAAAGCAUGGGUAGCGAACAGGAUUAGAUACCCUGGUAGUCCAUGCCGUAAACGAUGAGUGCUAAGUGUUGGGAGGCUUCCGCCUCCCAGUGCUGCAGCUAACGCAUUAAGCACUCCGCCUGGGGAGUACGACCGCAAGGUUGAAACUCUAAA